rnacentral:rRNA from 1 species
UGGAACCACCUGAUCCCAUAUCGAACUCAGAAGUGAAACGGUUUAGCGCCGAUGGUAGUGUGGGGUUUCCCCAUGUGAGAGUAGGACAUCGUCAGGCUU